GAUUAUGGACCACAAAAAUUACUUAAAGACCUAGAAGUAGACUGAACCUGAGAUGGGACCAUAAUAUUAGGAAAUUAGCAAGGAUAAAUUGGGUCUACAUAGCCAACAAUAUACAAAGAAUGAUGAUGAGACGAUAAGUUUUAGCUUUUAACCAACUGAAAACUGAAGUAGAUAAAACAUGGAUAAAACCAGGGCAAACCUAUAUAUUCUUAAUAGAAUGAUAAAAUCACAAAUAAUAUUCAUUAUUCAUUAUUGUCAAUGUUGGAUUGGUUAAUCAUUUGAGAUUUUUAAAAUAAGGACUUAAAAUAAGGAACAUCACAAGAGAAACAAUUGGAUAUAGAUUGGAAAACUUUACCGAAGAGACAUUUGAAACCAUGAAUAAGACAAUUCAACAUGCGAAGACAAAAUA